rnacentral:rRNA from 1 species
GACGUAGGGCGCGAGCGUUGUCCGGAUUUAUUGGGCGUAAAGAGCUCGUAGGCGGCUUGUCGCGUCGAAUGUGAAAUCUCAGGGCUCAACUCUGACAUUGCAUUCGAUACGGGCAGGCUCGAGUUCGGUAGGGGAGACUGGAAUUCCUGGUGUAGCGGUGAAAAUGCGCAGAUAUCAGGAGGAACACCGGUGGCGAAGGCGGGUCUCUGGGCAGUAACUGACGCUGAGGCGCGACAGCGUGGGGAGCAAACAGGAUAGAUACC